rnacentral:rRNA from 1 species
UACGUAGGGUGCGAGCGUUGUCCGGAAUUAUUGGGCGUAAAGAGCGUGUAGGCGGCUUGGAAGGUCAGCUGUGAAAACUCGAGGCUCAACCUCGAGACGUCGGUUGAAACCACCUGGCUAGAGUCCGGAAGAGGAGAGUGGAAUUCCCGGUGUAGCGGUGAAAUGCGCAGAUAUCGGGAAGAACACCCGUGGCGAAGGCGGCUCUCUGGGACGGUACUGACGCUGAGACGCGAAAGCGUGGGGAGCGAACAGG